UACGGGGGGGGCAAGCGUUGUUCGGAAUUACUGGGCGUAAAGGGCUCGUAGGCGGCCAACUAAGUCAGACGUGAAAUCCCCAGGCUCAACCUGGGAACUGCGUCUGAUACUGGAUGGCUUGAAUCCGGGAGAGGGAUGCAGAAUUCCAGGUGUAGCGGUGAAAUGCGUAGAUAUCUGGAGGAACACCCAGGGGGAAACCAGUCGACUGGGCAUCUACUGACGCUGAGGUGCGAGAGCGUGGGGAGCGAACCGG
rnacentral:rRNA from 1 species